AGAUUGUGCCACUUCACUCCAGCCUGGGUGACAGGGUGAGACUCUUCCUCAAAAAAAAUAGUUGAAUAGAUGAUUUAUGAUAUAGUCAUAUAAUAAAUAAAUACUAUACAACAAUGAGAAUAAUUGACCUACAGCUAAACACAAAAAUAUUGACCAAUCUUGCAUUUACUCAAUCUUAUAUUUACGCAAUCUACUAUUGAGUAAAGGGCACUGGAUACUAAAAAAUACAUAUUUUAUGAUUUCAUUUAUAUAAAGUACCAAAACAGGAUAGUAAUCUUCAUGAGCUUAGGAGGUGGUGGUAGUCUCUGCUUGGGAGCAUGACAAGGGCUUCAUGGCAACUGUUAUAUUCUGAAUUUUCUUUCAGUGCUGGCAUUCUGGAUAUGUUUCAUUUGUGCAAAUACAUAGAGCUAUAUAUUUAUGAUGCCCACUUUUCUACAUGUGUAUUUAUGCUCCAAAGUAGUUUACUUAAGUCAUCUAACAAUAUCUAGAAAUAAGUCUAACAAAAUAUGCAAGGACUAUACACCAUGAACUAUGCAGUAUUUCUGAGAGAAUUAAAAGGGCUAAUAAAUGGUAGGACAUGUCAUGAUUAGGGAUUGGAAGACUGAUUAUUUUAUGAAUCUCAUUUCUCCACAAAUUUAUCUAUAGAUUGAAUGUAAUUGCAAGACUCAUACAUAGAACGAGUUGAUUUAUAGAAACUAUAGUGAAAGGAUAAUCUUUUCAAUAAACGGUGUUAGUAUCAUGGGAUUCUUGGGUUAUCACUUCACCAGCUGGAAACCUCUGUGGCCAGUGGAUCCUUUGCCUGAGUUUUUCUUGGGCUCACUGGGCUUGUUUCACCCCUUCAGUCUGGCAGGCUGCGCUUGGCUUACGCUACCCUCCUGGAUCCCGUGCCUGCCAAGAGUGAGCUGAGUGGGGAGGGGUGUGUGAAUGAGUGAGCAUGGGGCCCAGCCACUGCUCAUAGCCAGGCAUGCUGGCUGUGGCAGGGUGGGCAGCUCCAGGCACUGGCAUGGGCGCUGGCUCCCUGCGAGGCUGAAACUGGACCAGGCGAACCAUAAGCAGCUUCCAUGGCUGGCACCAGGGAAUGCGGUGGUGCCCAGAAGCUUGGAAUCACCAGAAAGUGUGAAGCCCCAAAGAGGUUAUCACAGCCCUGGUUUGGGGAACUUCUAGGUCUGGGAUCCCCAAAGGGCCACAGCUCUUCUCUCCUUCUCUCUUCUCUCCUUCUCUCUUCUCUCCUUCUCUCUUCUCUCCUUCUCUCUUCUCUCCUUCUCUCCUUCUCUCUUCUCUCCUUCUUGUUGCCCACAACAUGGUGAGCAAGGGGGGUGUUUCAGCCUUGUUUGUGUUACAGCUCUUUCAGCUCUGCCAUUUGGCAAGUCCCUAGUUUUUGUCCUGUGUCCAGGAAGAAUGAGGUACCUAGACAAGUGGAGGGUGAGCAAGAUAAAGACGAGCUUUUUUGAGCAGUAGAACAGCUCAGAGGAAACCCACAGUGGGUAGCUUCUCUCCUCAACUGGGAUGUCCUGAUGAGUGUUCAGCUCUCAGCAGAGAGGAGACCCUGGAGUAGGUAGCUCCUAUCUGCAGCUGGUAGUCCCAAUGUCUGCUCAGCUCUCAGCAGAGAGGAGAACCCAGAGGGGGUAGCUCCUCUCCACAGGCAGGUCAUUCUGUCAUCUCCUCAAGUCUGGCUGAGCCCAGGGUUUUUAUGGGCUUCAGCGGGGAGGAAGUGUGUGCUGAUUGGUCCAUGGGUGGCCAUGGGUGGGCCUGGAAAAGGCAACAUAAGUUCCCACUCUAGUCUGCAGGACUGGCAGCCCAGCUCCCAGGCUUCAGGCCUUCCCUGGCUUGAAGGUGGGGCUUCACCAAGGGCCUACCUGUUUCCACCCUGGAGCCUGUCUGCCUCCUGCUGCUGCUUAUGUAACCCAGGCUUUUACUGCUGAGGGGUGCCUAUAAGCCAGCAUUGAGCUGCCCUCAGCCCGGCCUCAGCCUCCCUCUGGUGCUCGGUGGUGCACAAAGUCUAGACGGGGACAAGGCAGCAGGGGCUAGUGUGUCAGGGCUGCCCUAAGUGUGUGCACACCUGGCCAGGUUGCAAUAGUACCUAGUCUUGGCCUCAAUUUUGCUCCAGAUCAGAGCAGGCACAGGAACAGAGAGAGGCCAGGAAACAGGAGCAGGCAUUUCCAAGCCUGCUGGGACAAGAGGGACUUCCUGGGCCCCUGGGAGUGCAGAGAUGCCUGGGUGUGCAGCUGCAGCUUGGGUGGCUGCAGCUGCGGCUUGGGUGGCUGCAGCUGCAGCUUGGGUGGCUGCAGCUAUGCCUGGAGCUCAUGCCUGCUCCCACUCCUCAAGAGCACAGGGAUGUCCAGGCUUGGAGCCAUGGCUGGGCAGCUGCAGCUGCGCCCAGGGAGCAUGAGGCUCCUGCCCUGCCAACUCAGGAGCGGGCUGGCCUUCCACCUGUUUCUGGCUCCCUCCGGCUCCAUGGAGCAUGCAACCCUGGCCACACCUCCCCAGUGAAGCCAGUGUCAUGGCAGCAGCCACUCUAGAUGGGCCAUGGCUGCCAUCAUUAGGGCUUUACUAUACACAUGUUAAAAAGUAAUUAAACGUGGUUUCUACCCUCCUGACAUUAAAAACUGAUCAAUUCCAGAUGGAUUAUAGAUAUAGUUGUGGAAGACAAAACAAUCAAACUUUUAGAAAAAAGUCAAAGACAUUAUUUUCAGGUUUUCCAAGUUGGGAAAUGUGAUACAAAACUAUUCAGUUUAAAUAAAAAAUCAAUACCUUUAACUAUUAAAAUUGAGGACUGCUAUUUAUCCAAAGAUACAAUGAAGAGACUGAAAGGCAAAGAUUAAAAAAAGACUAAAGAUUUAAAAAAUUAAAUAUGUAUACACACAUGAAUGGAAUAUGUGAAAAAGUCUCCAAGUAAAGAAAAAAGGACAAUUCACUAGAAAUAGAAGAAAAGUCUUAAACAGUCUCAUCCCAAAGAAGAUAUCCUAAUGAACAGUGGACAUGAACAGGGGCUCAACUUCGUUAAUUAUCUCUCAUUCUCAAGGAAAAGCAAAUUAGACUGUGAAUAAAAUCUCCAUGUACCCACUAGGAUGACUACAAUUCAAAAGGCUGACCUAUCCAGGUGAAGAUGAGAGUGUGCAGCAUUGGAAAUUCUUACACAUUGCUGGAGAUUUAGAAGCUAAAGAAAGAGGACAAAUGAUUUGGAAGCAAAGAUAAGAAGGAAGAAGGGAAGCAUACAUCACAAUGAAACAUCUAUUCAAGGAGAGCUCCUAUAACUCCGGCUCAUAACAUAUAGAAACGUGAUAUACUUAAGAACAGGACAAGAGAGGACAGUAGGAGCGAAGCUGCAUUGGAAUAAAGAAAUGACAGCAGAUGUUAACUUGAACCCCCAGGAAUACAUUAAGAGAACCUGAAACUAUAGUCCACGCUUUUGGACUUACAGAUAGUGUAUUGGACUUUUCUGGCCUCACAGAGUGGUGAGUUUUCAGUCCUCAUGGAACUGGCAUCCAUUAGGACAAAUUUUGCUAUGGGUCAGUCACCAAUAAAACCAGAUGAGCGUCUUCUUCCAUUUAAAUUUUUGUCCUCAGAGCCCAGGCUUCAUCCAUAGAACAUUUUUUUUUUCUAAUGUUCUUCCUGCUGGAUAGUGAAGAUUACUGGGUCUACAUUUGGAGAGGGUCAGCUUUCAGGUUGGAGGCACCAGACAUGAGGUGCACAGGCAUUACCUUCUUACAGACUGUCACCAGUCUCAUGAAGUCAUCUUGUUACUGCAGCUUGGACCCUGAUUUCUUGGCUCGUGUGUAAAUAGAAAUUAACACUGGACCAAACAGAAAUUUUUAUCAGGCAACAUUUAAUAGGCUUGCAGCCUGAGCAAGUCAAGGGAGCAACAUACAGGAAAGGGAUCCCCGCUGCUAGCUCUCCAAAGGGCUUAGCUCUUGUCAUUUAAGGAAGUUGAGGAGAAAAAUAACUGAUAUGUAGGCAUGUAGAGGUGGGGAGUUUUUAGCACCAAAGAUGACUCGGUCCUUCAGAAGUCACUCUGAGGAACAUUUGUCUUGAAUAAAACUUCAUUUUAGAGGCACCUUCAAAAAGAAAGAGUAUAAAAUUUCUCUGGCCCAGUGGGUAGCACUUUUGGUUGAUAUGCAGAAGUCUCCAAAUGCAAUUCUGAAUAAAAAACUGCUUCACUAACAAAUUCAUUGGUCAAAGCCAAUGAGCAAUUUGAAAAAAUUAAGUAGUAACAAAUGACUAAUUUUAUUAGUAAAUCCUGCUCUUCUUUGCCUACAUCUACCUCCCCAUAUUCAGCUUUCUCUAUUCCCCCUUAUAUUUCUGAUUUCCCUGCUUCAACACCUCAUACUCCUUCCUCCUCUUACUCAGACCUCUAGCUUUUCCCAACUCUCCUGAA